GCAGCUCCAGGCUGGAAGUUGUUUUCCUUUGAAAAGGUUCCAUUCCUGCCAAUGUUCCAGGGCCGGUGGUGUUUACCUGGUUGCCAUGGAGACCAAGGGUUCCAAGGCGCCUCUAGUCGGUUGGCCCCGCCAUUGCCUUCCUGGCCACCAACAUGGGCAGAGGGCUCUCCAGGCAGGUCCAGUAGGGGCCUGCUUUAUUGCCUCCCUCUACUUUUGCAGAAGGUCAGGACGAGGCACCCAUCUCCGCCGGGUGGGUCCCGAAAACACAGAGAAUGUUCCAAGAGAGCACACUGUAGAAGAUGGAAAGAAGUGAUGGAGAUCAGUGGAGGAAGGGAAAAGUUAACAAAAUUGGUAGUGAAGUGAUCCUCUGCCCUUGCCCCUAUGAAGCAAUAGGGAGAAGAAAUAAAAAGAACUGCAAAGAUCUAGAACCUCGAGUGCUGUUUCUUGGUUCAGAAAAAAAAACUAUUUCAAAUGAAGCUGCUACAUCCAUCUAUAUUUCUUUGGCUAGUGAGACAUUGCACAGCACGAAGAUGACUACGGUCUCAAGUCGUAGGACUGUACACAACCCUAACACCAGACAUUAGAGGGUUGUAUCCUGCUAUUUUUUGAACUUAGAAAAAUGUUCAUGUAUUUGUUCAACUUCCUAUGGAUGUGGAAAUCGAUCUUGUUAUGCUCAGGAAAGGGCUUUUUCUGAAGCAAGAAGUCAUUCCUGAUUCCGCAGAGGGAGACAUACACACCCUACUUUCAACCUAAAAUAAUCUGGGAUGUGUAGGGAACCAUGUCAAAGGGACAUUCUGAGUUGUUUGUUUUUUUUAAGAAAUCAGAUAACUUGUGUGCUGGAUAUGAUCUACACUGUCCUUAUUCCUAGCACAGAACUAGGGCUGGUCUUGCAUUAAUCUUCUCUCUCCCCUAAAUGAAAAGCCAUUGUGAUAAUUCUAUAGUAUUUUCAUGGAAAUGUUAUAAAUCACUGGACUCCUGAAUAGUUCCAUAAUGAAAUAGAGGUGAUAGGAUUUAAAAGGCAAGAACAGAAAUAAGAUGACAAUAUAUUCAGAAGACUUAUUUUUUCUACUAAUAAAUUGUUUUAACAACCAGCAUUAAAUCUGUUUUGUGUGUGUGUGUGUCAGGAGCGACUUGAGAAACUGCAAGUCGCUUCUGGAGUGAGAGAAUUGGCCGUCUGCAAGGACAUUGCCCAGGGGACAACUGGAUGUUUUGAUAUUUUUACCAGCCUUGUGGGAGGCUUCUCUCAUGUCCCUGCAUGGAGCUGGAGCUGAUAGAGGGAGCUGAUCCACGUUCUCUCCGGGUUGGAUUUGAACCUGGCAGCCUUCAGGUCAGCAAGCCAACCUUCAAGUCACAAGGCUUUAACCCACUAAGCCACCGUUGGCUCCAUUCAAUCUGUUGAAAACAUGCAAAUGUGAGUAAAUCAAUAGGUACUGCUCUGGCGGGAAGGUAACAGUGCUCCAUGCAGUUGUGCCAGCCACAUGACCUUGGAGCUGUUUACAAACACCACCACGCUUCACCUUAGCAGUGGAGAUGAGGACCACACUCCAGAGUCGGACAUGACUGGACUUGAUGUGAGAGAGAAACCUUUACCUUUUCUACCUCAAAAGCACCUAAACCAAAAUCCCAAAGUGAAAACCGGUUCAUUUCUCCCUCAGUUCAAAAGAAUAAAUAGCUCAUAUAUACUGGAAUUAAAACUGUCUAAUUUAAAAUAUUCAAACCCAAAGAAAAUUCUUACAUAUGCCCUAUGACACCAAUUAAAUCAGUUUAAGUUUUCAAUACAGUAGAGCCCCGGUUAACUGAGCUCCAGUUAACCGAGGCUCUGUAUUAUCCGAGGUGCCGCCGGCGCCCCUCCCUCUCCCUCUCCUUCUCGCGAGCGAAGGGAACUCACGAGGAGAGGGAGAGGGAGGAGCAAGCGCCCUGCCUCUUCC
rnacentral:lncRNA from 11 species